CGUUUAGUAUUUGGUCGUAGACCCGAAACCAGGUGAUCUACCCUUGGUCAGGUUGAAGUUCAGGUAACACUGAAUGGAGGACCGAACCGACUUACGUUGAAAAGUGAGCGGAUGAACUGAGGGUAGCGGAGAAAUUCCAAUCGAACCUGGAGAUAGCUGGUUCUCUCCGAAAUAGCUUUAGGGCUAGCCUCAAGUGAUGAUUAUUGGAGGUAGAGCACUGUUUGGACGAGGGGCCCCUCUCGGGUUACCGAAUUCAGACAAACUCCGAAUGCCAAUUAAUUUAACUUGGGAGUCAGAACAUGGGUGAUAAGGUCCGUGUUCGAAAGGGAAACAGCCCAGACCACCAGCUAAGGUCCCAAAAUAUAUGUUAAGUGGAAAAGGAUGUGGCGUUGCCCAGACAACUAGGAUGUUGGCUUAGAAGCAGCCAUCAUUUAAAGAGUGCGUAAUAGCUCACUAGUCGAGUGACACUGCGCCGAAAAUGUACCGGGGCUAAACAUAUUACCGAAGCUGUGGAUUGUCCUUUGGACAAUG
rnacentral:rRNA from 1 species